UCCAGACUCCUACGGGAGGCAGCAGUGGGGAAUAUUGCACAAUGGGGGAAACCCUGAUGCAGCAACGCCGCGUGAAGGAAGAAGGCUUUCGGGUUGUAAACUUCUUUUAAGAGGGAAGAGCAGAAGACGGUACCUCUUGAAUAAGCCACGGCUAACUACGUGCCGGCAGCCGCGGUAAUACGUAGGGAGCAAGCGUUGUCCGGAAUUACUGGGUGUAAAGGGAGCGUAGGCGGGAUGGCAAGUAGAAUGUUAAAUCCAUCGGCUCAACCGGUGGCUGCGUUCUAAACUGCCGUUCUUGAGUGAAGUAGAGGCAGGCGGAAUUCCUAGUGUAGCGGUGAAAUGCGUAGAUAUUAGGAGGAACACCAGUGGCGAAGGCGGCUUUCUGGCUCAUAACUGACGCUGAGGCGCGAAAGCGUGGGGAGCAAACAGGAUUAGAUACCCCGUAAG
rnacentral:rRNA from 1 species